UUGUGAAGGUAUACCAACACUAAUAUGUGAAGGUAUACCAACACUAAUAUGUGAAGGUGUACCAACACUAAUAUGUGAAGGUACACUGGCUAAUAUGUGAAGGUAUACCAACACUAAUAUGUGAAGGUAUACUGGCUAUUAUGUGAAGGUGUACCAACACUAAUAUGUGAAGGUACACUGGCUAUUAUGUGAAGGUGUACCAACACUAAUAUGUGAAGGUACACUGGCUAUAAUGUGAAGGUAUACCAACACUAAUAUGUGAAGGUACACUGGCUAUUAUGUGAAGGUAUACCAACACUAAUAUGUGAAGGUCCACUGCUUAUAUGUGAAGGUUAGGUGUACCAAAACUAAUAUGUGAAGGUAUACUGGCUUAUUUGAGGGAAGGGGUACUAAAACAGAUGUGAGCAGUGAACAGUGAGCAGUGAAUCUGUUUUGAGCAAUGCUUGUUUACAUUGCCAUCCAGGGACAAUUGGGUCUUUGUUUAUAGCAUGAGCAGUGUACAUCUGCAAAUAUGUUGUCAAUAAUUGUGAAAAAAGGCUAUUUUGUACAAUGUUUUUUAAUUUGCAUGAAAUUAUCUACUUUUAAAUAAAAUAUAUUAACCAAGCAAGUUUAAUAUUUU
rnacentral:misc_RNA from 1 species